GGGGGUUUUAGUGCGCGACAACAAUUUCAUAGGUUAAAUUCUUUGCGACGUAUUUUGCGCGUGCUGUUUUGUGGUCUAGAAAAAGUGUCAUAUUUGUAUGAUGAGCUUACUUUGUCUUCAGUUUAUUUGUAUGAUUCUAGUUAUUAUAGAUCAUAGAUACCAGGGUUUUAAGGACAUAAAAAUUCAGACAUACAAAGUUAAG
rnacentral:lncRNA from 1 species